rnacentral:tRNA from 2 species
UUAGUAGAAGCCAAAAACAAGAGGCAUUUUAUUGUUAAUAAAAAAAAUGAAUUAUAUUCCUAUUAAA